CGCGAUUACUACGCCGCACUUCCGCCCGCAAAUUGUUUUCUUCGACAAAACUGCCGCCUGCCCUCCACCCCACCGGUGGCCGCGCCUUCCUACCACCGGCACCAUCGGGCACACCUCCCUUCCCCUGGUGGCUGCGCCUCCCUACCGCCGCCGCGGGCGCCGUCGCCUGCCCCUCAAAUUCCGCCGGUGGCUACGCCUCUCUACUGCCGGCGCCGGCGCCGUCGCCUGCCCUCCAACCAGUCCGCGCCUCACCGCCGCCAGCGCUGGGGCUCCACCCCGCACGUGCCUUCCCCACCGCCGGUGCCCUGAGGUGCAGCCGGGAAGAAGCAUCCGAUGCAGGAAUUAAGAGCACAAGACAACGAGAUGAUGGAAAGCAACACUGUCUACUAGAUGCAGUUUGUUAACAGUGAGUAUUUCUUUGGUGAAUUUAGUUUGCACUGAAGAACUGCACAUGCGAAGGAGGGAUUAUUGUCAUGUGUCAAGGUUAGGGAUUAUGGUCACUUUUUUUCUCAUAUAUAUGCACUAUCGUCUUGUUCUUGCGAACACGGUAUCUGCACUAUUUUCAUUGAAUCUUCUAGCCCAUGCAAAACAGAAUGUUGGUAUAUGCCAGACACACUACUAUCCAUAAUUUUGCCAUUGUUUAUUGGUCAACUUUUUCCAUGAUUGAUAGAAUUCAAUUCCAUAUCUUUUUUAUCAGCACCAACAUUAGCUUCAUUCCUUAAUUAUUUUCUACUUGCAUUAGAAAGGGGACUUCAGAUCAUGUAGGCCAAUCCUAUACAUUGGCUGAGCACUCUCUUCAAAAGGAAGAAUGUGAUCACAAACAACAAUCUGGGCAUGACCUUCUACCAAUGUAUGAAUACUAAUUGAAUAUUUGAUUUUUUUUUCUUCACAUACACUAAUUGAAAUACUACUAGCAAGAGAGCUAUAUAUAAUACAGUAAGGUGGUUGUUCAUCACAAAUGAAAGUCAAGGAUGGUUAUUUAGCAAAAUUAUUUCCGCGUUGAUCUGGCCCUUCAUAUUUCUACUGCUUAUACUGUAUAAAUGGCAUUUUUACAUGAUUUUAUUAACUAUAUUAUUGCUGUACCUAGAAGUUAUGUAAUGUGAUUCAUUUGUGAAUGACAGAAAUUACGAAAUAUGGAAACUGUUGUUUGAUGUUUUCUCAUACAGAGCCAUAUGCCAAUUAUUGUCUAUCCAAGCGCAUGUUGUUAAUUCAUUCUAAGAAUUAUUCCUUCUGCCUGACCAUUCUGAUCUUUUCUUACUAUAUUGAGAUACAGGCACAUCACGCCUCUAUUGCAAAAUUGUGUCUGUGUGUUUUUAAUCAGUCCAUCUUUUGCCAAAUUGAGAUACAAGCGUUUUUUUUGACCUUUUCCCACUUGCAGCCAUCCAACUAGCUAACAACGACAGCACAUUUUGGUACCUCUUUUUGGCUUGCUGCUUGGCAGCUACAUUUCGAUUUGUUAAAACAAAUUCAGCUACAUUUGGCAGGUAACUCCAAAAUAUUCUGAUUAGGGAAAAAAAGAUAGCUAAUGCAGUUACUUGUCAACAUACCCUCAUGUUACUUUAUGAAAUGCAAGUGCCAUGGAAAGGUUAUAUUCGAAGUUAUAGCCAUGUAUGUGCGUUGUAUUUUCUCACAUUUAUCUUACUUUCAUCUGAUAUACAUAAGCACUAUAUGUUCCUCCACUUAUCUGUUUACUAUCUCUUUCAACCAGUUUUUCACUAGCAAAGUUCUUUGCAAGUAAUUGCUUUGUAAUCUGUAUUGUGCGUUGUUACGUAAGAAAGGAUAAGUGGAUGAGAAUACAGUUGUAUAUAGCACAAACACAAGUAUCGGGGAUUUGAUGUAUAUACUGUUUAGAUCA